rnacentral:rRNA from 1 species
GCCUAGGAUGUCGACUUGGAGGUUGUGCCCUUGAGGCGUGGCUUCCGGAGCUAACGCGUUAAGUCGACCGCCUGGGGAGUACGGCCGCAAGGUUAAAACUCAAAUGAAUUGACGGGGGCCCGCACAAGCGGUGGAGCAUGUGGUUUAAUUCGAUGCAACGCGAAGAACCUUACCUGGUCUUGACAUCCACAGAACUUUCCAGAGAUGGAUUGGUGCCUUCGGGAACUGUGAGACAGGUGCUGCAUGGCUGUCGUCAGCUCGUGUUGUGAAAUGUUGGGUUAAGUCCCGCAACGAGCGCAACCCUUAUCCUUUGUUGCCAGCGGUUAGGCCGGGAACUCAAAGGAGACUGCCAGUGAUAAACUGGAGGAAGGUGGGGAUGACGUCAAGUCAUCAUGGCCCUUACGACCAGGGCUACACACGUGCUACAAUGGCGCAUACAAAGAGAAGCAAUCUCGCGAGAGCUAGCGGACCUCAUAAAGUGCGUCGUAGUCCGGAUUGGAGUCUGCAACUCGACUCCAUGAAGUCGGAAUCGCUAGUAAUCGUGAAUCAGAAUGUCACGGUGAAUACGUUCCCGGGCCUUGUACACACCGCCCGUCACACCAUGGGAGUGGGUUGCAAAAGAAGUAGGUAGCUUAACCUUCGGGAGGGCGCUUACCACUUUGUGAUUCAUGACUGGGGUGAAGUCGUAACAAAGGGUAACCGAAACUAGUUUGAUCCUGGC